rnacentral:rRNA from 1 species
AACCGCGGUUAUACGAGAGGCCCAAGUUGAUAGACAACGGCGUAAAGAGUGGUUAGAACUAUAUUAAACUAGAGCCGAACACCUCUGCACCGCUGUCUAAAGCCUACAGGGGUAAGAAGUACUUCUACGAAAGUGACUCUAAGAAAUUUUUAACCCACGAGAGCUAGGGAA